rnacentral:rRNA from 1 species
GAUGAACGCUGGCGGCGUGCCUAACACAUGCAAGUCGAACGAACAGACGAUGAGCUUGCUCCUCUAACGUUGGCGGCGGACGGGUGAGUAACGUGUGCAUCACCCACCUUUUAGACUGGGAUAACUUCGUGAAACCGGUGCUAAUACUGGACAAUAUAUUCAACGGCAGGGUUCAAUAGUUAAAGACGUUUUUGCUGUCACUUAUAGCUAGCUCCGCGUUGCAUUAGCUAGUUGGUAAGGUAACGGCGUACCAAGGCGACGGUGCGUAGCCGACCCGGGAAGGUGAACGGGCACACUGGAACUGAGAGACGGUCCAGGCUCCUACGGGGGGCCGCAGUAGGGAAUCGUGGGAAAUGGGGGGAAGCCUGAAGGAGGGACGCCGGGUGGGUGAAGAAGGGCCUCGGGUCGUAAAACGCUGUUAUUAGGGAAAAACAAUUGUGUAAGUAACUAUGCACUUCUUGACGGUACCUAAACAGAAAGCCACGGCUAACUACGUG